UGGGGAAUAUUGCACAAUGGGGGAAACCCUGAUGCAGCGACGCCGCGUGCGGGAUGAAGGCCUUCGGGUUGUAAACCGCUUUCAGCAGGGACGAAUUCAGACGGUACCUGCAGAAGAAGCGCCGGCUAACUACGUGCCAGCAGCCGCGGUAAUACGUAGGGCGCAAGCGUUGUCCGGAAUUAUUGGGCGUAAAGAGCUCGUAGGCGGCUUGUUGCGUCCGCUGUGAAAUCCCGGGGCUUAACCCUGGGCGUGCAGUGGAUACGGGCAGGCUGGAGGCAGGCAGGGGAGAACGGAAUUCCCGGUGUAGCGGUGAAAUGCGCAGAUAUCGGGAGGAACACCGGUGGCGAAGGCGGUUCUCUGGGCCUGUUCUGACGCUGAGGAGCGAAAGCGUGGGGAGCAAACAGGAUUAGAUACCCCCGUAGUCC
rnacentral:rRNA from 1 species